rnacentral:misc_RNA from 1 species
CAAACAAUGAAAGGAGGUGAUCCAGUGUCUUACACCAAGCGCUGUCACCUCGCUGGGAUCGCCCGCUGAGCUCUUAGGCUUCGCAAACAGGGCGCUCUCAGCGCCUGGACCAGCGAGUUUCAACAAUCGGGACGCGGCGGGCACCAUCCCGCCGCGUC